UGGGGAAUCUUCCGCAAUGGACGAAAGUCUGACGGAGCAACGCCGCGUGAGUGAAGAAGGUUUUCGGAUCGUAAAACUCUGUUUUCAGGGACGAAUGUAUAGAUCGUGAAUAAUGGUUUGUAAUGACGGUACCUGACAAGAAAGCCACGGCUAACUACGUGCCAGCAGCCGCGGUAAUACGUAGGUGGCAAGCGUUGUCCGGAAUUAUUGGGCGUAAAGCGCGCGCAGGUGGGAUAAUAAGUCUGAUGUUAAAGUUCGGGGCUCAACCCCGUGAAGCAUGUAGAAACUGUUAUUCUUGAGUGCAGGAGAGGAAAGUGGAAUUCCUAGUGUAGCGGUGAAAUGCGUAGAUAUUAGGAGGAACACCAGUGGCGAAGGCGACUUUCUGGACUGUGUCUGACACUGAGGCGCGAAAGCCAGGGUAGUGAACGGG
rnacentral:rRNA from 1 species